UAGGGAAUCUUCCACAAUGGGCGCAAGCCUGAUGGAGCAACACCGCGUGAGUGAAGAAGGGUUUCGGCUCGUAAAACUCUGUUGUUAAAGAAGAACAUAUCUGAGAGUAACUGUUCAGGUAUUGACGGUAUUUAACCAGAAAGCCGCGGCUAACUACGUGCCAG
rnacentral:rRNA from 1 species